rnacentral:pre_miRNA from 1 species
CCCGGCUGUGUGGACAUGUGCCCAGGGCCCAGGACAGCGCCACGGAAGAGGACACACCCGGCUGUGUGGACAUGUGCCCAGGGCCCAGG